rnacentral:tRNA from 4 species
GUCCCCAUCGUCUAGUCGGCCAAGGACAUCGCCCUUUCACGGCGAAAACGUGGGUUCGAAUCCCGCUGGGGACGCCA